AAUUCACGUUUUUCUCCAGCUUU
rnacentral:snRNA from 1 species